CCGCGCCGGCGACUCGCCGAAUGAGUUUCUGACCUAUCAACUCGAGACGGCGGGGUAGAGGCCCGCCGCGGUAACGACGGGUAACGGGGAAUCAGGGUUCGAUUCCGGAGAGGGAGCCCGAGAAACGGCUACCACUUCCAAGGAAGGCAGCAGGCGCGCAACUUACCCUAAUCUCGAUUCGAGGAGGUAGUGACAAGAAAUACCGAUGCGGGACCCUACGGGUGCCGCGUUCGGAAUGAGUACGAUUCGAACCACCUAACGAGGAACGAUCGGAGGGCAAGUCUGGUGCCAGCAGCCGCGGUAAUUCCAGCUCCAAUAGCGUACGUUAAAAGUUGCUGCAGUUAAAAAAGCUCGUAGUUGAACGUUCGGGUUCCGCGGGACGGGGCCGCCCCGCCGAGGGACGGCGCCGCCCCGGGGCUCGUGAUAUCUUAUCUCGCCGCCCGUCCGCGAGGCGGACGGAGGGA
rnacentral:rRNA from 1 species